CCCUAGGUACACUUGUUACACUUUUUUGCCGAAUGACCCUUCCUUAUAGACGUAUUUACGUCAAUAUACUAAAAUUUAUUGUCCAUGCGUUGUAGGUCAUACGCAAUGUAACAUACAAACACACAAACAUACCGCUAAACCAUUAACCUAGGAAUUAAAGUCUGAACAGCAAAAAUUAUAAAGGUGGAGGUUUAUAUAACUGUAUGAAAGAAGUGAAGAAUGUCAGAUGCACAUAUUUGAACAAAAAGACUGUUUGCUCGGAUGGUGAGUGGUCGCUGGACUUCACUAGCUUCAAGGAAUUCCAGCAGCUCAGAUAAUGGAAAUAGCUGCAUCAAGCGCUCCAUCAAGAAUCUAUUGUAACUAUAGUAUGUACACAAGUCUUUCUGAAGUAACUCAAUGUAUUCAGAGCGGGACCUUCAGAACAAAUUAAGUCAUCAAUUUGAAUGCUCACAAAAAAAGGAGAGCAAAGAACAUUCAGCAAAUACAAUGUAUGAUGUCCCAGCAGCUGCCAUCAUUUGACAACAAACACAAUGGUGACAAAUAAGGAGAGAAAAAGGAUGAUUAAUGAGAAGAAUGUGAAAAAACUACUGUUUUCUUCACUUCUCAUCAAGGACUAAAAACUUAAACACUUUAAGCAAUAAUCCAUUAUGAUACACAGAAGUAUAACCAGUGCUGAUCCCUGAUUGCCAAUCCUUGCUGUACGACCACACCGAUGAACAAAUGAUGCUGCUGA